rnacentral:lncRNA from 1 species
GGGCUCAAAAAAAAGCAAAGACACAGCAGGGUAAGUAUAAAAAAGCCUUUUAUAGAUUAGAUAACUUCAUAAAACAAGCCAAAGAUUAAAGUAUGCAAAUCCAUUCAUACGCCCAUUAUUAUUUAUCUGAAUUUGGCAAUGCGGGGUGGGUCCUCCAUUUCCGCUCUCCCCCUGGAGGAACUGGUGAGGCCUUCAUGUAAAAGAGGCAGAUGGGGGACACCGCUUCUUCUCCUGUCAGAUGCUGCUGAAAAGCGGGAAUCCCAGAAACUCCCCAGUAAUGCACCAGAUCCUUCUGCUGCUCCUACUGUAGAUUUACCUGACUACUGUGUCCUUGCUGCACCAGCCAGUGAUGGAGGAAGGAGAGCCCAAAUCUGGGAGGCGAAGGGGAACACACCUGCUUUACCGGACUACUGAAACUCCCUUCCUAUCAUCCCCUCUACUUCAGCAUGCUUCUUACUGUGUUCCCACACAUACAUGUGAGAAAGAAAGAUGGAAGAAGAAUGAAAGAAUGAGCAUGUCAACUCUACUCCCAGUCAACUCUAUUGCCACCCAUUCAUUUCAGGAUCCAAGUCAAAAUUGCCCUCCUUGUUUAUAAAACCUUCAGUGGACUUUUUCCAUCCUAUCUACAGACUUUGUCACCUUCUACUCACACACUUGAACCUCUGUUCAUGUAGCAAUGGCCUUCCCAUGUCCCUCUACACAAUCCUGCCAUUCAUGGUCUUCUGCAGCUCCUGCCAUUUGGAACAACCUUCUUUUAUCUCUCUGCCUCAAUGACUUUAUCACACUGAUUUAUUUCAAACAAAAGCUGAAAAUGACUCUUUUCUUGCUUGUUGAUACUACGUAUUUUCUUCUGCUGCUAUAGUUUAUGGACCAUGUCAUUAUUUUAUUUAACUUAUUAUUUAACUCUGUAAAGAUGUCAUAUUGUACUCUGUUGUACCCUUGAACUUAGUUAUUAUGCUUUGUAAUGUAGGAUUCAGCUUACCAACCUAUACUAUAUGUAACAAACUACUCUUAAUGGGUGGUAAAGAUUGAGAAAUCAAGCACUCCAACCUAAGGAAAUGCAGAGUAAAUGUUAAAAGAACAAUCUUAAUUAUGCUUAUGGAUAUGUCUUGAAAUACAGUCUCUUUUAUGACAGGUUUCAGAGUAGCAGCCGUGUUAGUCUGUAUCCGCAAAAAGAACAGGAGUACUUGUGGCACCUUAGAGACUAACAAAUUUAUUAGAGCAUAAGCUUUCGUGGACUACAGCCCACUUCUUCGGAUGCAUACAGAGUGAAAUAAAUAUUGAGGAGAUAUAUAUACA